UACGUAGGGUGCGAGCGUUAAUCGGAAUUACUGGGCGUAAAGCGUGCGCAGGCGGUUUUGUAAGACAGAGGUGAAAUCCCCGGGCUCAACCUGGGAACUGCCUUUGUGACUGCAAGGCUAGAGUACGGCAGAGGGGGGUGGAAUUCCGCGUGUAGCAGUGAAAUGCGUAGAUAUGGGAGGAACACCGAUGGCGAAGGCAAUCCCCUGGGCCUGUACUGACGCUCAUGCACGAAAGCGUGGGGAGCAAACAGGAUUAGAUACCCUGGUAGUCCACGCCCUAAACGAUGUCAACUGGUUGUUGGGUCUUAACUGACUCAGUAACGAAGCUAACGCGUGAAGUUGACCGCCUGGGGAGUACGGCCGCAAGGUUGAA
rnacentral:rRNA from 1 species